rnacentral:RNase_P_RNA from 1 species
UUCAGGUAAUUGCUGCAGUGCUAGACACUGGAGAGGAAAGUCCAUGCUCACACGGUACUGAGAUGUCCGUAGUGUUCGUGCCCGGCCAAAAAAUAAGCCGGGGCGCUGUUUACUCAGCUGACGGCGGAAAUAAUUCCUAAGUCCAUUAUUGGAUAUGGAAGACGUUUCCUGAAAAGUGCCACAGUGACGGAGCUGUAUCGGAAACGGUACAGGUGGAACGAGGUAAACCCCGCGAGUGAGAAACCCAAAUUAUGGUAGGGGCGCUCUUCCGAAGGAAAUGAACGGAGGAAGGGACAGACAAUCGUCUGUAGAUAGAUGAUUACCACCCUGAGUACGAGGUGUAAACCGUUUGAGUACAAGGGAACAAAACAUGGCUUAC